rnacentral:rRNA from 1 species
AGCAGCCGCGGUAAUUCCAGCUCCAAUAGCGUAUAUUAAAGUUGCUGCAGUUAAAAAGCUCGUAGUUGAAUUUCGGGACUAAUAUGUCGGUCGUGCCUCGGUACGUACUGGUUUAUUGGUUUCUCCUUUCUGAAGAACCAUGAUGUCAUUUAUUUGGUGUCGUGGGGAAUCAGGACUGUUACUUUGAAAAAAUUAGAGUGUUUAAAGCAGGCAUUAGCUUGAGUACAUUAGCAUGGAAUAAUGAAAUAGGACGUUCGAACCUAUUUUGUGGUUUUAGGAUCAACGUAAUGAUUAAUAGGGAUAGUUGGGGGCAUUAGUAUUCAAUUGUCAGAGGUGAAAUUCUUGGAUUUAUUGAAGACUAACUACUGCGAAAGCAUUUGCCAAGGAUGUUUUCAUUAAUCAAGAACGAGAGUUGGGGGCUCGAAGACGAUCAGAUACCGUCCUAGUCUCAACUAUAAACGAUGCCGACCAGGGAUCGGCGGAUGUUGCUUUUAAGGACUCCGCCGGCACCUUAUGGGAA